AUUUCCAACUGCAUCACAUAAAAUAGUUCAAAGGCAAAAAUGGAUUACUGCUGUGAAAAGAAAAAAAAAAAAUCAGAUGAUCCUGCGAGUCCAAGCUACGCGCCAACUCUAUUCCCUCCAGUUUAUCAUGCAAAGCAAGUAAAUGAAAAAGCUGUUUUGAGCAGGUAAAUGUAUGA